GACGAACGCUGGCGGCGUGCUUAACACAUGCAAGUCGAACGGAAAGGCCCUGCUUUUGUGGGGUGCUCGAGUGGCGAACGGGUGAGUAACAAGUGAGUAACCUGCCCUUGACUUUGGGAUAACUUCAGGAAACUGGGGCUAAUACCGGAUAGGAGCUCCUGCUGCCUGGUGGGGGUUGGAUAGUUUCGGCGGUUGGGGAUGGACUCGCGGCUUAUCAGCUUGUUGGUGGGGUAGUGGCUUACCAAGGCUCUGACGGGUAGCCGACCUGAGAGGGUGACCGGCCACAUUGGGACUGAGAUACGGCCCAGACUCCUACGGGAGGCAGCAGGGGGGAAUAUUGCACAGUGGGCGGAAGCCUGAUGCAGCAGCGCCGCGUGCGGGAUGACGGCCUUCGGGUGGUAAACCGCUUUCGCCUGUGACGAAGCGUGAGUGACGGUAAUGGGUAAAGAAGCACCGGCUAACUACGUG
rnacentral:rRNA from 1 species